rnacentral:rRNA from 1 species
ACUGCUCAGUAACACGUAGUCAACAUGCCCAGGGGACGUGGAUAACCUCGGGAAACUGAGGAUAAACCGCGAUAGGCCAAGAUUUCUGGAAUGAAUCAUGGUUUAAAUCUAUAUGGCCCCUGGAUUGGACUGCGGCCGAUCAGGCUGUUGGUGAGGUAAUGGCCCACCAAACCUGUAACCGGUACGGGCUCUGAGAGGAGGAGCCCGGAGAUGGGCACUUAGACAAGGGCCCAGGCCCUAUGGGGCGCCGCAGGCGCGAAACCUCUGCAAUAAGCGAAAGCUUGACAGGGUUACUCUGAGUGAUUUCCGCUAAGGAAGUCUUUUGGCACCUCUAAAAAUGGUGCAGAAUAAGGGGUGGGCAAGUCUGGUGUCAGCCGCCGCGGUAAUACCAGCACCCCGAGUGGUCGGGACGAUUAUUGGGCCUAAAACAUCCGUAGCCGGUCCUGCAAGUCCUCCGUUAAAUCCACCCGCUCAACGGUUGGGCCGCGGGGGAUACUACAGGGCUAGGAGGCGGGAGAGGCAAGCGGUACUCGAUGGGUGGGGGUAAAAUCCACUGAUCCAUUGAAGACCACCAGUGGCGAAGGCGGCUUGCCAGAACGCGCUCGACGGUGAGGGAUGAAAGCUGGGGGAGCAAACCGGAUUAGAUACCCGGGUAGUCCCAGCUGUAAACGAUGCAGACUCGGUGAUGGGCUGGCUUCGUGCCAACCCGGUGCCGCAGGGAAGCCGUUAAGUCUGCCGCCUGGGGAGUACGGUCGCAAGACUGAAACUUAAAGGAAUUGGCGGGGGAGCA